rnacentral:rRNA from 1 species
ACGGCUACCCAUCCAAGGAAGGCAGCAGGCGCGCAAAUUACCCACUCCCGGCACGGGGAGGUAGUGACGAAAAAUAACGAUACGGGACUCAUCCGAGGCCCCGUAAUCGGAAUGAGUACACUUUAAAUCCUUUAACAAGGAUCCAUUGGAGGGCAAGUCUGGUGCCAGCAGCCGCGGUAAUUCCAGCUCCAAUAGCGUAUAUUAAAGUUGUUGCGGUUAAAAAGCUCGUAGUUGAAUCUGUGUCGCACACCGUCGGUUCACCGCUCGCGGUGUUUAACUGGCGUGAUGUGGGACGUCCUACCGGUGGGCUCAGCCUCGCGAGGGGCGGCCCAACUAAUAUCCCGUCGCGGUGCUCUUUACUGAGUGUCGAGUCGGGCCGGUACGUUUACUUUGAACAAAUUAGAGUGCUUAAAGCAGGCUACCUUCGCCUGAAUACUGUGUGCAUGGAAUAAUGGAAUAGGACCUCGGUUCUAUUUUGUUGGUUUUCGGAACCCC